rnacentral:rRNA from 1 species
UGGGAAUUUGGACAAUGGGCGAAAGCCUGAUCCAGCAAUGCCGCGUGUGUGAAGAAGGCCUUCGGGUUGUAAAGCACUUUUGUCCGGAAAGAAAUCCUUGGCUCUAAUACAGUCGGGGGAUGACGGUACCGGAAGAAUAAGCACCGGCUAACUACGUGCCAGCAGCCGCGGUAAUACGUAGGGUGCAAGCGUUAAUCGGAAUUACUGGGCGUAAAGCGUGCGCAGGCGGUUUGCUAAGACCGAUGUGAAAUCCCCGGGCUCAACCUGGGAACUGCAUUGGUGACUGGCAGGCUAGAGUAUGGCAGAGGGGGGUAGAAUUCCACGUGUAGCAGUGAAAUGCGUAGAGAUGUGGAGGAAUACCGAUGGCGAAGGCAGCCCCCUGGGCCAAAUACUGACGCUCAUGCACGAAAAGCGUGGGGGAGCAAAACAGGAUUAGAUACCCUGGUAGUCCACGCCCUAAAACGAUGUCAACUAGUUGUUGGGGAUUCAUUUCCUUAGUAACGUAGCUAACGCGUGAAGUUGACCGCCUGGGGAGUAACGGUCGCAAGAUUAAAACUCAAAUGAAUUGACGGGGUCAUAGCUG